rnacentral:rRNA from 1 species
UUUACGGAGAGUUUGAUCCUGGCUCAGGAUGAACGUUGGCGGCGCGCAUAAUGCAUGCAAGUCGGACGGAGUCCCACCCUUCGGGGUGACGACUCAGUGGCAGACGGCUGAGUAACACGUGAGUGAUCUGCCUUUGGGUGGGGGACAACAGAGAGAAAUUUCUGCUAAUACCCCAUGUGAUCCACAAUCUAGGGUUGUGGAUAAAAGGAGCCGGGUAACCGGUUUUCGCCCUUAGAUGAGCUCGCGGCCUAUCAGGUAGUUGGUGGGGUAAUGGCCUACCAAGCCUAAGACGGGUAGCUGGUGUGAGAGCACGACCAGUCAGAGGGGGACUGAGACACGGCCCCCACUCCUACGGGAGGCAGCAGCAGGGAAUCUUCCACAAUGGGCG